GAGAGGACAGUGAAGGCUUUCUCUGUCAUGGGCCCCAAGUUAUGGAACGACUUGCCUUUGCACGUUAGAGAGGCCCCUUCACUGUCCACUUUUAAAGCUCGUCUUAAAACCCAUCUAUUUUACUUGGCUUUCAACUCCAG